CCUUGCAUGAGCUCAAUCAUCCUCCGGCACUGUUGGCAACGCCUCCACCUUUUAUUUUGUGCUAGACGAUGCAAGGUAAUGUCCACAGCAUCUCUCUCUUCCAGUGGGAGGUUCUGGAACUCUUCACAACUCAUCAAAGAAUGCCAAGGAACACCACAUUCCACACAGAUAAACCUUUGACAAACUGGGCACUCAACACAGCUGUUAUCAGACUGACUUGAUGAACUUGCUCUAGCUGAAAGACAUUCAUGGGGAUCAAGCAGGACAGAACAAUUUGGAUAUGGGCAGUAGAUUCUAUC
rnacentral:misc_RNA from 1 species